AUGGAAGAGCUGAAACUGGAAAGCUACGUACAAGGUGGUGGAGAUGGAGCUCUCCCUCAUGUAAUGUAUGACAUCAUCUACACCAAGGCAGUGGUGAUCCAUACUUGGUAUGUUGUUACCACGUACAUCUUGUUGGUCGGGGCCUUCCUUCUUCUGGACAUGGCAUCUGUGUUGAGUACUCUGGGGUCGACCUGGACAUGUAGUUUCCUGUGGACCAGAGGCUGGAGUAAUGCUGGUCUUGUCAUCCUGUCUCUUCGUCGGCGUGUCAAGGCUGCCGGCAGUAGAAGGUGGUCAGGCUCAAUUGGGCAGUUCAACUUGUUGCAUUUCUUCGAACGGAGGGAGUACAAGAUAAGAAGCAGAGUGGCCAAGAUGAUGGGUCUGGAGGAUUGGUGGAACAAAUGGCGUUGCUCUGAGACCCUAGUGAUUUCACAGGAUGUCAAGGAGUUGGUGUUCAAACAUGUAUGGCAACUAGUGAAGAGGAUUCACCAUCCAAGUGCAGAAAAUGAGAUUUGCGAGAAUGGCAUGGUGGGGCUCAUGGGGAUGAUGCCACCUAUGAAUGAUUUGCCAGGCUUUCGUCCUGCACUAUACAAUGAAACUGCCAAGAGGCGCGAGAGAUUAGACGAUGCUCUCAACUUUGAUGCCGAACUCCAAGAGGUGAUCCUUACCUGGCGCGUCUUCACAAAUGUUUUCCUCUUGUCCAUCGACACACCCAAGGAUGCGGCAUCAUCCACUUAUCUGAAGGCUGUCAAGGCCCUGUCAGAUUACAUGGUAUUCCUCGUAGCGGUACGUCCUGACAUGAUACCCGGUCUUGAACUACGCAGCAUGUACGAAUCAACCGUCGAAGAUUUGAGGUGCAUAUGUUGUCCAUGGGGUAGCCACACUUCUUCCACAGAUAGCGUGAAGAGGCUUCUCAGCAUCAUGCAAGACCGCACGCACGAGGAUAUGGGAGAGGCGUGCGUCACUCUCUGGCAUGGGACCUUAUAUGCCAAGCUGAUGCUGGAACUUGUAGAUGCAGGCAGCGCUGAUAAGCCUGGCAUCAUAUCUUGUUACGAGGAUCGUGAUCAUGUCGCCAUGGAGAAACUGGAGCGCCUGAUGCCAGAUCUGGAACACUCAUGCAACGGAGCCGGAGGUGGUGUGUUUGAUAUGCCGAAGGCGUUGGCGCUCAUCUUGGAUGCAUGGGUGCGUCUUCUCGUCUUUGCUUCCGUCCAGUGCAGCAGGGAUGCCCAUGCCAGCCAGAUAAACCGCGGCGGGGAGCUUAUGACCGUUGUGUGGCUCAUGGAAGAACACGCCAACGUGUUUUUCAAGCAGCCCACUCCUGGUGGUAUUGAAUCUUUUCUGCUUCAGGCCCUCUGUUAA
rnacentral:rRNA from 1 species